AGGAGUUGGGGGAACCAUCAUGUGGCAGAAGUGGACUUGGAAUCACUGGAAGAGGGAAGGGAGAAUACGUAUAUGCUACUGUUAUAGAGCUGGUGAACAUUACUGCCAUGGCAGACACGACUAUUCACUCAUUCUGGUCAACAGAAUUUUUUGAGCAGUAAACUCCAGGUGGGCACUACCAAUCAGAAGUGCCACAGGGUUGCAGAUGCCUCAGGUUAUCAGCUGCCACAGCUUCAGAGAAGCCCUGAGGCAGGUAGCAUGAGGUGAUAGGGCAAGGCCUAAGGUGAAGCCCUGUCAUGUUAUAGCUGUGUGCAACUCAUCAAAGUCACCAGAACAAAAAAUGAGGCCAGAAACAGAAGAGAUCAUACUUAAAAGCCUGCCUUGGAAAGGAAACAGCUAUUCUCCGCUAAUAACAAAUUUAACUUAAGGAUUCAGAUUAUUGCCUCAAGCAACAGAAUGUACAACUACAUCAAAGACUUUGGCAUCGUGGUGGAAAAUGGACACCUGGUGAGAGAGACCAGCGAUGCUGCCUCUAGAUCACAGGCAGCUGGUGUCUGCAUGGACUCCGUGGGAGCUCUCUGAAGGCCGUCACUUGACUCUUGCAAGCAGCUGAGCCAGGUUUAACAAUGGCAGGUGCUUUGGACUAGGUGUGUGUCUUCUCUCAAUCCAUAUGUUGAGAUCCUACCUCCCACUGAAAUGUGAUGGGGCUUUGAAGUGGUGAUUAGGUCAUGGGAUCCCUCAUGAAAGGGAUUUGUGCCCUUAUAAAAGGGACCCCAGAGAGAUCUUAUUCCUUUGACCUCAUGUAAAGGCUCAGUGAGAAGACACAUCUGUGCAGCAGGAAGAGUCCUCAGGGACACUGAGGCUGUAGAACAUUCAGCUUGGACUCCCAGGCCCCAGAACUGCAAGAAAUACCUUUUGGUUGUUUACAAGCUACCCAGUCUAUGGGAAUUUUGUUCUCACAGCAUGAGCAGCCUGAAAUAUCAGCUGAAGACAAAGCAGA